UCCUACGGGGGGCAGCAGUGAGGAAUAUUGGUCAAUGGCCGGAAGGCUGAACCAGCCAAGCCGCGUGAAGGACGAAGGUGCCAAGCAUUGUAAACUUCUUUUGUCAAGGGACAAAAUCAGGCUCGAGAGCCUGACCGAGGGUACUUGAAGAAAAAGCAUCGGCUAACUCCGUGCCAGCAGCCGCGGUAAUACGUAGGUGGCAAGCGUUAUCCGGAUUUAUUGGGCGUAAAGCGAGCGCAGGCGGUUGCUUAGGUCUGAUGUGAAAGCCUUCGGCUUAACCGAAGAAGUGCAUCGGAAACCGGGCG
rnacentral:rRNA from 1 species